GCAUUCAGGUGUGUGACUCUGGAAGGCUAGGCUUCAAAAGGCGUUGGUGCUGCUCCUCCAGCCGGAGAGGAAGGAGGCUCUCCCACUAGCUCUCAGGCCCCUUCGAGGGGAUAACUGGCAGUGGUUAGUGCCCAGUCUCCCUCUGGCCAGUGACCCACCAGAAUCAAAGCCCAGGGAGUGCCUGACCAGCACCGACUGGCCCGUCAUAGCUGUGGCACCGGCACCAAGGAGAGGAGACACUGAACCAGUUUAUUUAAAAG